rnacentral:rRNA from 1 species
UUACGGCCAUAUCAGAUUGAAACGCUGGUUCUCAUACGAUCACCGAAUUUAAGCGACGUCGAGAAUGGUAAGUAGCUAGAUGGGUGAUCGCUUCGGAAGGCCGGGUGAUGUAA